UACGUAGGGGGCUAGCGUUGCUCGGAAUCACUGGGCGUAAAGGGUGCGUAGGCGGGUCCGCAAGUGCCUUGUGAAAUCCCACGGCUCAACCGUGGAAUGGCUCGGCAGACUGCGGGUCUUGAGGUCGGUAGGGGUCGCUGGAACUCUAGGUGGAGCGGUGAAAUGCGUAGAUAUCUAGAGGAACGCCAAAGGUGAAGACAAGCGACUGGGCCGAUUCUGACGCUGAGGCACGAAAGCGUGGGGAGCGAACGGG
rnacentral:rRNA from 1 species